GCAAAUACAAAACUGCCAUGGAUCUUGGGUUCACCUCCAGGGGUUCUUUAAAAAGCCUUUAUUUGUCCAUCUGCAGGUGGUUUAUGGGGGACUGGGCAUGAAGGGCCCAUCAAAGGAUGUGUCCUUCCUUUGUGAACUGAGAUUCUACUGAAAUGAAUGGAUCUGCACCCAUGUCACUGCCCCACAGCUCACACUGAGACCUUGGAGAUUUUCCCCAUUCCCCCCUCUGAAGAUUUUUUUUUUGGCCCAGGCCCUUCUGUUUUCCUUCUUCCCAGCACCAGCUUGAGUUCAGGGCUCCUCUGAAUCACAAGGUGAUGUUCAAACCACUUUUGGAAGCUUUUACCUGAGCACUGCACCAGCUCAGAGCACUG